CACCAGACUCCUACGGGAGGCAGCAGUCGGGAAUAUUGCGCAAUGGAGGAAACUCUGACGCAGUGACGCCGCGUGCAGGAAGAAGGUUUUCGGAUUGUAAACUGCUUUAGACAGGGAAGAUACAAGACAGUACCUGUAAAAUAAGCUCCGGCUAACUACGUGCCAGCAGCCGCGGUAAUACGUAGGUGGCAAGCGUUAUCCGGAUUUACUGGGUGUAAAGGGGGCGCAGACGGCAGCGCAAGCCAGGAGUGAAAGCCCGGGGCCCAACCCCGGGACUGCUCUUGGAACUGCGCGGCUGGAGUGCAGGAGGGGCAGGCGGAAUUCCUGGUGUAGCGGUGAAAUGCGUAGAUAUCAGGAGGAACACCGGUGGCGAAGGCGGCCUGCUGGACUGCGACUGACGUUGAGGCCCGAAAGCGUGGGGAGCAAACAGGAUUAGAUACCCUAGUAC
rnacentral:rRNA from 1 species